rnacentral:rRNA from 1 species
AACGAACGCUGGCGGCAGGCUUAACACAUGCAAGUCGAACGCCCCGCAAGGGGAGUGGCAGACGGGUGAGUAACGCGUGGGAAUCUACCCAUCCCUACGGAACAACUCCGGGAAACUAGAGCUAAUACCGUAUACGCCCUACGGGGGAAAGAUUUAUCGGGGAUGGAUGAGCCCGCGUUGGAUUAGCUAGUUGGUGGGGUAAAGGCCUACCAAGGCGACGAUCCAUAGCUGGUCUGAGAGGAUGAUCAGCCACAUUGGGACUGAAACACGGCCCAAACUCCUACGGGAGGCAGCAGUGGGGAAUAUUGGACAAUGGGCGCAAGCCUGAUCCAGCCAUGCCGCGUGAGUGAUGAAGGUCUUAGGAUUGUAAAGCUCUUUCACCGAUGAAGAUAAUGACGGUAGUCGGAGAAGAAGCCCCGGCUAACUUCGUGCCAGCCGCCGCCGUAACAC